rnacentral:rRNA from 1 species
CGUAGGGUGCGAGCGUUAAUCGGAAUUACUGGGCGUAAAGCGUGCGCAGGCGGUUUUGUAAGACAGAUGUGAAAUCCCCGGGCUCAACCUGGGACCUGCAUUUGUGACUGCAAGGCUAGAGUACGGUAGAGGGGGAUGGAAUUCCGCGUGUAGCAGUGAAAUGCGUAGAUAUGCGGAGGAACACCGAUGGCGAAGGCAAUCCCCUGGACCUGUACUGACGCUCAUGCACGAAAGCGUGGGGAGCAAACAGGAUUAGAUACCCUGGUAGUCCACGCCCUAAACGAUGCCAACUGGUGUUGGGUCUUUACUGACUCAGUAACGAAGCUAACGCGUGAAGUUGACCGCCUGGGGAGUACGGCCGCAAGGUUG